UUCGUUAAAGAUAUCUUAACAAUAUUAUCGAUAUCAAAAACUAUCAAAGAUAUCGAUAUUAUAUCGAUAAUCGAUAGUCGCAAUCUAGAUUGACGCGUAGAAAACAUGGAUAAUGUGAAAAAAAGUUCAAUGAUUUUGAACGAUCAAAAAGUGAAGGUUUAAUCCAUUAAGUUAGAAGGUUCAGUGAUCGAAGUUUAUUUUUCUGAACAUAUUUCUAUAAAAUAGAUUUCAUCGCACAAUUGUCGUGUGUUCAACCGAUACAGUUUAAUUAUGUCGUGCGUACAUUUAUCAAGAUCCUUUCCAGAUUCGAUAAUAGCUGUAUUUAAAUUUCACGUUUGAAGAUUUUUAGAUAUUUUUUGUGUUUGUUAAAUAGAUAUUAAUUUAAUUCAAUUAAAUAUAUGUUCAUCGCGAUUUGUGAUAAUAUGAAAUGAAUAAUUGUCUGUUUCGAGGUUAUAUUUAUGUCGUUUAUCGACAGAGAAAAAUUUCAAACAUUUCGUGUAUCUAGACAUUCAUCGAUGAAGUUUCAGGUAGUUAUUCGAAUGUCAGUUACUAUCAAGGUUAUAACAUAACCUACUGCGUAACUUUCUUGUUUCGUGUAGUGGUAUUUUUAAAAUAGAAAUGACGAUGAUGCAAGAGAAUGAAAUUUUUACAUCUAUCACGAUUAAAGAUUCAGAAUGUUAGCAAUGUUUCUAAGAAGAAGAAAAAAAAAGAAAAGGAAUAAAUAAAUGUUUAAAUUAAUAAGGAAAUCCGUGUGUCAAGUGACAACAGAAUAUUAAAUGAUUAAAGAAGGAGACGUACAAAUGAA